UACGUAGGGCGCAAGCGUUGUCCGGAAUUAUUGGGCGUAAAGAGCUCGUAGGCGGUUUGUCGCGUCUGCUGUGAAAUCCCGAGGCUCAACCUCGGGCUUGCAGUGGGUACGGGCAGACUAGAGUGCGGUAGGGGGAGACUGGAAUUCCUGGUGUAGCGGUGGAAUGCGCAGAUAUCAGGAGGAACACCGAUGGCGAAGGCAGGUCUCUGGGCCGCAACUGGCGCUGGAGGAGCGGAAAGCAUGGGGGAGCGAACAGGA
rnacentral:rRNA from 1 species